GAUGGUUUGACGAGAGCUAAACUGUCUCCUCUUAAAUAUAAAAAAAUUAAUUUUUAGGUGAAGAAGCCUAAAUUCAAUUGAGGGACAAGAAGACCCCUUUGAGCUUUAGUGAUCUAACAAAUUUUUAUAGCUGUCGAAAAGACAGCAGCGUAACAUUAAUGAAAACAUCAUUUGUUAAAAAUCUUUAGUUGGGGCGACUAAGGAACAUGAAAAGCUUCCUUUAAAUCUCUACUUAUGAGAAGUCAAUCUUAUACAAAGAUCCAGUACUUACUGAUCAGAGGAAAAAGUUACCACGGGGAUAACAGCGUAAUUCUUCUAGAGAGCUCAUAUCGAAGGAAGAGUUU
rnacentral:rRNA from 1 species